rnacentral:rRNA from 1 species
AGUAAGGCUGAGUGUUAGGCAAAUCCGGCACUCAUAAGGCUGAGCUGUGAUGGGGAGAGGAAAUUGUUUCCUCGAGUCGUUGAUUUCACACUGCCGAGAAAAGCCUCUAGAUAGAUAACAGGUGCCCGUACCGCAAACCGACACAGGUAGUCAAGAUGAGAAUUCUAAGGUGAGCGAGCGAACUCUCGUUAAGGAACUCGGCAAAAUGACCCCGUAACUUCGGGAGAAGGGGUGCUCUUUAGGGUUCACGCCCAGAAGAGCCGCAGUGAAUAGGCCCAAGCGACUGUUUAUCAAAAACACAGGUCUCUGCUAAACCGUAAGGUGAUGUAUAGGGGCUGACGCCUGCCCGGUGCUGGAAGGUUAAGAGGAGUGGUUAGCUUCUGCGAAGCUACGAAUCGAAGCCCCAGUAAACGGCGGCCGUAACUAUAACGGUCCUAAGGUAGCGAAAUUCCUUGUCGGGUAAGUUCCGACCCGCACGAAAGGCGUAACGAUUUGGGCACUGUCUCAACGAGAGACUCGGUGAAAUCAUAGUACCUGUGAAGAUGCAGGUUACCCGCGACAGGACGGAAAGACCCCGUGGAGCUUUACUGUAGCCUGAUAUUGAAAUUCGGCACAGCUUGUACAGGAUAGGUAGGAGCCUUUGAAACGUGAGCGCUAGCUUACGUGGAGGCGUUGGUGGGAUACUACCCUAGCUGUGUUGGCUUUCUAACCCGCACCACUUAUCGUGGUGGGAGACAGUGUCAGGCGGGCAGUUUGACUGGGGCGGUCGCCUCCUAAAAGGUAACGGAGGCGCUCAAAGGUUCCCUCAGAAUGGUUGGAAAUCAUUCAUAGAGUGUAAAGGCAUAAGGGAGCUUGACUGCGAGACCUACAAGUCGAGCAGGGUCGAAAGACGGACUUAGUGAUCCGGUGGUUCCGCAUGGAAGGGCCAUCGCUCAACGGAUAAAAGCUACCCCGGGGAUAACAGGCUUAUCUCCCCCAAGAGUUCACAUCGACGGGGAGGUUUGGCACCUCGAUGUCGGCUCAUCGCAUCCUGGGGCUGUAGUCGGUCCCAAGGGUUGGGCUGUUCGCCCAUUAAAGCGGUACGCGAGCUGGGUUCAGAACGUCGUGAGACAGUUCGGUCCCUAUCCGUCGUGGGCGUAGGAAAUUUGAGAGGAGCUGUCCUUAGUACGAGAGGACCGGGAUGGACAUACCUCUGGUGUACCAGUUGUCGUGCCAACGGCAUAGCUGGGUAGCUAUGUAUGGACGGGAUAAGUGCUGAAAGCAUCUAAGCAUGAAGCCCCCCUCAAGAUGAGAUUUCCCAACUUCGGUUAUAAGAUCCCUCGAAGAUGACGAGGUUAAUAGGUUCGAGGUGGAAGCGUGGUGACACGUGGAGCUGACGAAUACUAAUCGAUCGAAGACUUAAUCAA